rnacentral:rRNA from 1 species
GACGUAGGGUGCGAGCGUUGUCCGGAUUUAUUGGGCGUAAAGAGCUCGUAGGCGGCUCGUCGCGUCGACCGUGAAAACCCGCAGCUUAACUGCGGGCUUGCGGUUGAUACGGGCGGGCUAGAGUUCGGUAGGGGAGACUGGAAUUCCUGGUGUAGCGGUGAAAUGCGCAGAUAUCAGGAGGAACACCGGUGGCGAAGGCGGGUCUCUGGGCCGAUACUGACGCUAAGGAGCGAAAGCGUGGGGAGCGAACAGG